rnacentral:piRNA from 1 species
UGCAAUCUGAACACUCAUCAAGGCUA